rnacentral:SRP_RNA from 1 species
GCCGGGCGCGGUGGCUCACGCCUGUAAUCCCAACACUGGGAGGCUGAGGUGGGUGGAUCACUUGAGGUCAGGAGUUUGAGACCAGCCUGGCCAACAUGGUGAAACCCCAUCUCUA